rnacentral:rRNA from 1 species
ACGAACGCUGGCGGCGUGCCUCAUACAUGCCAGUAGAACGCUGAAGAGAGGAGCUUGCUCUUCUUGGAUGAGUUGCGAACGGGUGAGUAACGCGUAGGUAACCUGCCUUGUAGCGGGGGAUAACUAUUGGAAACGAUAGCUAAUACCGCAUAACAAUGGAUGACACAUGUCAUUUAUUUGAAAGGGGCAAUUGCUCCACUACAAGAUGGACCUGCGUUGUAUUAGCUAGUAGGUGAGGUAAUGGCUCACCUAGGCGACGAUACAUAGCCGACCUGAGAGGGUGAUCGGCCAAGCUGGGACUGAGACACGGCCCGGAAUCCUGCGGGAGGCAGCAGUAGGGGAUCUUUGGCAAUGGGGGCAACCCUGACCGAGCAACGCCGCGUGAGUGAAGAAGGUUGUCGGAUCGUAAAGCUCUGUUGUAAGUCAAGAACGGGAGUGAGAGUGGAAAGUGCACACUGUGACGGUAGCUUACCAGAAAGGGACGGCUAACUACGUG